rnacentral:rRNA from 1 species
ACUCUUACGCUNACCGGCGUGCUUAAUUNUGCAAGUCGAACGAUGAAGCCCUUCGGGGUGGAUUAGUGGCGAACGGGUGAGUAACACGUGGGCAAUCUGCCCUUCACUCUGGGACAAGCCCUGGAAACGGGGUCUAAUACCGGAUACGACACACGACCGCAUGGUCUGUGUGUGGAAAGCUCCGGCGGUGAAGGAUGAGCCCGCGGCCUAUCAGCUUGUUGGUGGGGUGAUGGCCUACCAAGGCGACGACGGGUAGCCGGCCUGAGAGGGCGACCGGCCACACUGGGACUGAGACACGGCCCAGACUCCUACGGGAGGCAGCAGUGGGGAAUAUUGCACAAUGGGCGAAAGCCUGAUGCAGCGACGCCGCGUGAGGGAUGACGGCCUUCGGGUUGUAAACCUCUUUCAGCAGGGAAGAAGCGAAAGUGACGGUACCUGCAGAAGAAGCGCCGGCUAACUACGUGCCAGCAGCCGCGGUAAUACGUAGGGCGCAAGCGUUGUCCGGAAUUAUUGGGCGUAAAGAGCUCGUAGGCGGCUUGUCACGUCGGAUGUGAAAGCCCGGGGCUUAACCCCGGGUCUGCAUUCGAUACGGGCAGGCUAGAGUUCGGUAGGGGAGAUCGGAAUUCCUGGUGUAGCGGUGAAAUGCGCAGAUAUCAGGAGGAACACCGGUGGCGAAGGCGGAUCUCUGGGCCGAUACUGACGCUGAGGANCGAAAGCGUGGGGAGCGAACAGGAUUAGAUACCCUGGUAGUCCACGCCGUAAACGUUGGAACUAGGUGUGGGCGACAUUCACGUNGUCCGUGCGCANNUACGNUUAAUUCCCGCUGGGNGUCNGCNCAGGCUAACUNAAGAUUACGGGGCCCNCAACCNGACNUUGGUUAUNNCCACCGAAACCUNCAGNUGNUACCGAAACUGAAAGGCCCUUGUNGGAAGGGCUGNUCCANUUNCNAAUGGUAUCCAACCNCUNUUUCCCUCUNGGGGNCAGAUCGGAUGGAGGGCAAANUCUUUUGUCCUAGCCANUCCGGGANANGUU